rnacentral:rRNA from 1 species
ACAUAGGGUGCAAGCGUUGUCCGGAAUUAUUGGGCGUAAAGAGUUCGUAGGUGGUUCGUUACGUCGGAUGUGAAAAUCUGGGGCUCAACCCCAGACCUGCAUUCGAUACGGGCGAGCUAGAGUUUGGUAGGGGAGACUGGAAUUCCUGGUGUAGCGGUGGAAUGCGCAGAUAUCAGGAGGAACACCAAUGGCGAAGGCAGGUCUCUGGGCCAAUACUGACACUGAGGAACGAAAGCGUGGGGAGCGAACAGG